UACGUAGGGCGCGAGCGUUGUCCGGAAUUAUUGGGCGUAAAGAGCUCGUAGGCGGCCUGUCGCGUCAAUUGUGAAAGCCCGGGGCUUAACCCCGGGUCUGCAGUCGAUACGGGCAGGCUAGAGUGUGGUAGGGGAGAUCGGAAUUCCUGGUGUAGCGGUGAAAUGCGUAGAUAUCGAGAGGAACACCCGUGGCGAAGGCGGUUCUCUGGGACGGUACUGACGCUGAGACGCGAAAGCGUGGGGAGCGAACAGG
rnacentral:rRNA from 1 species